rnacentral:tRNA from 1 species
CCGAGUGUAGCUCAGUUGGUAGAGCGAUUGACUGUAGUGUUCUAUACUGUGUUUCAGUUUCUCGGAAAUUCUCGGAAAUCAAUUGGUCGCUGGUUCGAUUCCGGCCACUCGGA